UUUCCACAAAAUAUUACUUUUUUGUUAAUUAGUUAUUUAUUACCCCUGAAUAUUUUUAUCUCUCUUCUAACAUCAUUUAAAAAAGUUGAAGCAUGGAUAUUUUUACAUAGCUACAUACCUCCGUUUCAAAAUAUAAGCCUUUUUAGAUAUUUCAAUACAGACUACAUACGGAUGUAUAUAGAUGUAUUUUAGAGUGUAGAUUCACUCAUUUUGCACCUUAUGUAUUCCGUACUGGAAUCUCUAAAAAAACUUAUAUUUAGGAACAGAGGGAGUUUUAGAGUGUAGAUUCACUCAUUUUGCUUCUUAUGUAGUCCUUAUUGGAAUCUCUAAAAAAACUUAUAUUUAGGAACGGAGGGAGUACUAUAUUUGAUCAUUCUAGAGAAAGUUCACAAAGAAAUUCCACCUAAAUAGCGAUUAGUAAUAUCUCUGCACUAACACUCUCAUCACUCUCACGAAUAGUCUCUAAAAAAAAUAGACAUCAACAUAGCCUCCUCAACCAAAUAAAUGUAUGUGUAUUCACGUAUAUAAAUGUUAACAAAUACAGACAAGACAAUGAACUAUUGAAAGAUUGUGUUAUAGGUAGUAGACGAAACAAUGAAGUAUUGAACACCUUUUGCUAUGCGGAACUUCACAUAAUUAAUACGGAUGUGUUGAAGAGACAAGCUAAAUUGAAGAGACGAUCUAAGUUGGGCAGAAUGUCAACUGAAAAAAAAGUUAAUUACCCAAAAUAACGCAAGGUAAGCAAAAGGGCAGGGGGAUAUGAGCAACUCUGACAUAAAUUGAGGCAAAUCUUCGCUCACUUGAUCCUAAAAAAACUCCAUGCGCAUAUUGGUCACCUCUCUGCAUUUGCCCUUCCCGGCUUCUGAGUAGUACCUCACCGGAGAACACUCUCUUCGUCUUGCGAGCAUGAAAAUUAUGAGUAAGAAGAAACCAUGCGAAGAUAAAAAAUAUAUAGAGAAAGGUCAGUAGACCAUAAGCAUCUCCUUAUCUCCACUAGAAAAAAUCUCCACGGGCUGCAGGCAGGGGAUAACAGGAGACCACAAGCCGAUUUCUCAUGAAGAAUCCAAAAUCCACACAAUUGCUGGAUCCUAGCAGACUAAGCAUCUGGGAAGGAAGGGGAAGGAGGGGAAGAGGAGAGAUUACCUGGAGGAGAGCUGCCGCUUAGGUUCAAGGGGCGCGAACUCCAUGGCCAUCCAAUCGAUGGCGGCGCGCGAGCAGCAGGCACGUGUAGUCGAGCUGGAGGACCGGCCGCCGCCGAGAGCCUGCAACGACGACACUCUGCCGCAAAUCCUACUCACCACGUCCUUCUCACUUACUGGAUCUAGCAACGAUCUGUGGAUGAACCCCUAGAUCAGGGAAGAAAAAGAGAAAAACGAACGAGAAUGGGAAAUGGGUUCACGUCAAGAGAAAAGAAUGAAAAAAGGCAUGAAUGGGAG
rnacentral:lncRNA from 1 species